rnacentral:rRNA from 1 species
GAUGAACGCUAGCGGCAGGCUUAAUACAUGCAAGUCGAGGGGCAACAGGGGUAGCAAUACCUGCUGGCGACCGGCAAACGGGUGCGGAACACGUACAGAACCUUCCUUUAAGCGGGGGAUAGCCCAUAGAAAUGUGGAUUAAUACCCCAUAGCAAUAUUUAAUGGCAUCAUUAGAUAUUUAAAGAUUUAUCACUUAAAGAUGGCUGUGCGGCUGAUUAGGUAGUUGGGCGGGUAACGGCCCACCAAGCCAGCGAUCAGUAACUGGUGUGAGAGCACGACCAGUCACACGGGCACUGAGACACGGGCCCGACUCCUACGGGAGGCAGCAGUAAGGAAUAUUGGUCAAUGGGCGCAAGCCUGACCCAGCCAUGCCGCGUGAGUGAUGAAGGCC